UACUCCCAGCCCGGUGUCAGUACUCCUAGCCCGGUGUCAGAUACUCCCAGCCCGGUGUCGGUACUCCCAGCCCGGUGUCAGUACUCCUAGCCCGGUGUCAGAUACUCCUAGCCCAGUGUCAGAUACUCCUAGCCCAGUGUCAGAUACUCCUAGCCCAGUGUCAGUACUCCCAAUACUCCCAGCCCAGUGUCAGAUACUCCCAGCCCAGUGUCAGAUACUCCCAGCCCAGUGUCAGAUACUCCUAGCCCAGUGUCAGAUACUCCUAGCCCAGUGUCAGAUACUCCCAGCCCAGUGUCAGAUACU